CUUGGACCAAGCUGAUUCUCACUUGUAACACAAUUUCCAGACCAGACUGAAGACUGAAAUAAAUAAAAGCAAUUUGUGGUGCCUACAACCUCAUACCUGCUGGUCUGCAAGUGGAACCUCACAAUGAGAUGCCUCCCAGUGCAGCAAAACUCACUGACCAUCACUGUGUUGGACACUUCUCUGGAUUCCUCUGGAACAGUGAAGAGGGCUGUGGAAGUGGAGCAGAACAGGACUAGUUCUGGCAUUUUGGCUGCUGCAGGUGAGCCAGCAAAUCACCAGGAAGUGGC
rnacentral:lncRNA from 1 species